AUACGUAGGGGGCGAGCGUUGUCCGGAAUGAUUGGGCGUAAAGGGCGCGUGGGCGGCCCGGUAAGUCUGGAGUGAAAGUCCUGUUUUUAAGAUGGGAAUUGCUUUGGAUACUGUCGGGCUUGAGUGCAGGAGAGGUAAGUGGAAUUCCCAGUGUAGCGGUGAAAUGCGUAGAGAUUGGGAGGAACACCAGUGGCGAAGGCGACUUACUGGACUGUAACUGACGCUGAGGCGCGAAAGUGUGGGGAGCAAACAGGAUUAGAUACCCUGGUAGUCCACACUGUAAACGAUGAAUGCUAGGUGUAGGGGGUAUCGACCCCUUCUGUGCCGCAGUAAACACAGUAAGCAUUCCGCCUGGGGAGUACGGUCGCAAGGUUGAAACUCAAAGGAAUUGACGGGG
rnacentral:rRNA from 1 species